rnacentral:rRNA from 1 species
GAUGAACGCUGGCGGCGUGCCUAAUACAUGCAAGUCGAGCGAACAGACGAGGAGCUUGCUCCUCUGACGUUAGCGGCGGACGGGUGAGUAACACGUGGAUAACCUACCUAUAAGACUGGGAUAACUUCGGGAAACCGGAGCUAAUACCGGAUAAUAUAUUGAACCGCAUGGUUCAAUAGUGAAAGACGGUUUUGCUGUCACUUAUAGAUGGAUCCGCGCCGCAUUAGCUAGUUGGUAAGGUAACGGCUUACCGAGGCAACGAUGCGUAGCCGACCUGAGAGGGUGAUCGGCCACACUGGAACUGAGACACGGUCCAGACUCCUACGGGAGGCAGCAGUAGGGAAUCUUCCGCAAAGGGCGAAAGCCUGACGGAGCAACGCCGCGUGAGUGAUGAAGGUCUUCGGAUCGUAAAACUCUGUUAUUAGGGAAGAACAAAUGUGUAAGUAACUAUGCACGUCUUGACGGUACCUAAUCAGAAAGCCACGGCUAACUACGUG